rnacentral:rRNA from 1 species
GUCUACGGCCACGCCACCCUGAACGCGCCCGAUCCCGUCUGAUCGUGCCCGAUCCCGUCUGAUCGUGGAAGCUAAGCAGGGUCAGGCCUGGUGAGUACUUGGAUGGGAGACCAUCCAGGAAGACCAGGUGCUGUAGGCG